rnacentral:rRNA from 1 species
CAGUAGCCGCGGUAAUGCGUAGGUGGCAAGCGUUGUCCGGAAUUAUUGGGCGUAAAGGGCUCGCAGGCGGUUUCUUAAGUCUGAUGUGAAAGCCCCCGGCUCAACCGGGGAGGGUCAUUGGAAACUGGGAAACUUGAGUGCAGAAGAGGAGAGUGGAAUUCCACGUGUAGCGGUGAAAUGCGUAGAGAUGUGGAGGAACACCAGUGGCGAAGGCGACUCUCUGGUCUGUAACUGACGCUGAGGAGCGAAAGCGUGGGGAGCGAACAGGAUUAGAGACCCCCGUAGUCCCUGUCUCUUAUAA